GUCUACGGCCAUACCACCCUGAACGAGCCUGAUCUCGUCUGAUCUCAGAAGCUAAGCAGGGUCGGGUCUGGUCAGUACUUGGAUGGGAGAAGUUUGUCUUUCGACC
rnacentral:rRNA from 2 species